GUUCUCAUUUCAGCAGCACAUAUAUGAAAAUUGGAAUGAUACAGAGAAUGUUAGCAUGGCCCUGUGCAAGAAUGACACACAAAUUCAUUAAGUGUUCCAUAUUUUU